rnacentral:tRNA from 2 species
AGUAAAAUGGCUGAAUUAUAAGCGGUAAAUUGUAAAUUUAUUAAUGAGAAAUUUCUCUUUUACUA